rnacentral:rRNA from 1 species
AGAGUUUGAUCCUGGCUCAGGAUUAACGCUAGCGGCAGGCCUAAUACAUGCAAGUCGAACGGGAUUAGUUGUAGCAAUAUGACUAUGAGAGUGGCGCACGGGUGCGUAACACGUAUGCAACCUACCUAUAACUGGGGAAUAGCCUUCCGAAAGGGAGAUUAAAACCCCAUAACACUAUGAAGUGGCAUCAUUUUAUAGUUAAAUCUUUUGAGGUUAUAGAUGGGCAUGCGUCCGAUUAGUUUGUUGGUGAGGUAACGGCUCACCAAGACUUCGAUCGGUAGGGGGUCUGAGAGGAUGAUCCCCCACACUGGUACUGAGACACGGACCAGACUCCUACGGGAGGCAGCAGUAAGGAAUAUUGGACAAUGGGCGAAAGCCUGAUCCAGCCAUGCCGCGUGAAGGAUGAAGGCCCUAUGGGUCGUAAACUUCUUUUAUAUAGGAAGAAACCUCUCUACGCGAUCGGGGUUGACGGUACCGUAUGAAUAAGGGUCGGCUAACUCCGUGCCAGCAGCCGCGGUAAUACGAAGGACCCGAGCGUUAUCCGGAUUUAUUGGGUUUAAAGGGUGCGUAGGCGGAUUAAUAAGUCAGUGGUGAAAGCCUCUCGCUCAACGGGAGAACUGCCAUUGAUACUGUUAGUCUUGAGUAUGGUUGAGGUGGGCGGAAUGUGUCAUGUAGCGGUGAAAUGCUUAGAUAUGACACAGAACACCAAUUGCGAAGGCAGCUCGCUAAACCGUUACUGACGCUGAGGCACGAAAGCGUGGGGAGCGAACAGGAUUAGAUACCCUGGUAGUCCACGCCCUAAACGAUGAUAACUCGUUGUUGGCAAUACAUCGUCAGCGACUAAGCGAAAGCAUUAAGUUAUCCACCUGGGGAGUACGACCGCAAGGUUGAAACUCAAAGGAAUUGACGGGGGCCCGCACAAGCGGAGGAGCAUGUGGUUUAAUUCGAUGAUACGCGAGGAACCUUACCUGGGCUUGAAAGUUAGUGACCGUUCCUGAAAGGGAUUUUCCAGCAAUGGCCCGAAGCAAGGUGCUGCAUGGCUGUCGUCAGCUCGUGCCGUGAGGUGUUGGGUUAAGUCCCGCAACGAGCGCAACCCCUAUCAUUAGUUGCCAUCAGGUUAAGCUGGGGACUCUAAUGAGACUGCCCGCGCAAGCGGUGAGGAAGGUGGGGAUGACGUCAAGUCAUCACGGCCCUUACGUCCAGGGCUACACACGUGCUACAAUGGCAGAUACAGUAGGUUGCAACAUGGCAACAUGAUGCUAAUCUCAAAAGUCUGUCUCAGUUCGGAUUGAGGUCUGCAACUCGACCUCAUGAAGUUGGAUUCGCUAGUAAUCGAAAAUCAGCAAUGUUUCGGUGAAUACGUUCCCGGGCCUUGUACACACCGCCCGUCAAGCCAUGGAAGUCGGGGGUACCUGAAGUCGAUAACCGCAAGGAGUCGCCUAGGGUAAAACCGAUGACUGGGGCUAAGUCGUAACAAGGUAACC